rnacentral:rRNA from 1 species
CAUAUUAUAAUCAAAUAUUUAUAGGACUAAGAUGGGCAUGCGGAACAUUAGCUAGUUGGUAAGGUAACGGCUUACCAAGGCUACGAUGUUUAGGGGAUCUGAGAGGAUGACCCCCCACACUGGUACUGAGACACGGACCAGACUCCUACGGGAGGCAGCAGUAAGGAAUAUUGGUCAAUGGACGCAAGUCUGAACCAGCCAUGCCGCGUGCAGGAAGACGGCCCUACGGGUUGUAAACUGCUUUUGUACCGGAAUAAACCUUUUCACGUGUGAGAAGCUGAAUGUACGGUAAGAAUAAGGAUCGGCUAACUCCGUGCCAGCAGCCGCGGUAAUACGGAGGAUCCAAGCGUUAUCCGGAUUUAUUGGGUUUAAAGGGUGCGUAGGCGGCCUAUUAAGUCAGGGGUGAAAGACGGUAGCUUAACUAUCGCAGUGCCUUUGAUACUGAUGGGCUUGAAUGUACUUGAGGUAGGCGGAAUGUGACAAGUAGCGGUGAAAUGCAUAGAUAUGUCACAGAACACCAAUUGCGAAGGCAGCUUACUAAAGUAUGAUUGACGCUGAGGCACGAAAGCGUGGGGAUCAAACAGGAUUAGAUACCCUGGUAGUCCACGCCCUAAACGAUGAACACUCGAUG